AGUGAACGCUGGCGGUAGGCCUAACACAUGCAAGUCGAACGGCAGCACAGUAAGAGCUUGCUCUUACGGGUGGCGAGUGGCGGACGGGUGAGGAAUACAUCGGAAUCUACUUUUUCGUGGGGGAUAACGUAGGGAAACUUACGCUAAUACCGCAUACGACCUACGGGUGAAAGCAGUGGAUCUUCGGACCUUGCGCGAUUGAAUGAGCCGAUGUCGGAUUAGCUAGUUGGCGGGGUAAAGGCCCACCAAGGCGACGAUCCGUAGCCGGUCUGAGAGGAUGAUCAGCCACACUGGAACUGAGACACGGUCCAGACUCCUACGGGAGGCAGCAGUGGGGAAUAUUGGACAAUGGGCGCAAGCCUGAUCCAGCCAUACCGCGUGGGUGAAGAAGGCCUUCGGGUUGUAAAGCCCUUUUGUUGGGAAAGGAAAGCAGCAGGUUAAUACCCCGCUGUUCUGACGGUACCCAAAGAAUAAGCACCGGCUAACUUCGUG
rnacentral:rRNA from 1 species